rnacentral:tRNA from 1 species
GCCAGGAUGGCGGAAUUGGUAGACGCGCAGGAUUUAGGAUCCUGUACCGCAAGGUGUGUGGGUUCGAUUCCCUCUCCUGGCA